rnacentral:rRNA from 1 species
UGAAGCAAAUCGCACCAAAGCCAGUCCCAGUUCGGAUAAGAGGCUGAAACUCGCCUCUUUGAAGUCGGAAUCGCUAGUAAUCGCAGAUCAGCAUGUUGCGGUGAAUACGUUCCCGGGUCUUGUACACACCGCCCGUCAAACCAUGAGAGUCACCAACACCCGAAGUCCGCCUUGGCGGCCUAAGGUGGGGGAGAUGAUUGGGGUUAAGUCGUAACAAGGUAUC